AAAUAGACGAGAUCGCUGGGCAUACUGGGCUCAUGAAAGAAAUGCCAGGCUCCAGACCAAAGAAAAAUUCCUGAGAAGAAAAAACUCACGCCAGUCUUCAUGCUGUGGGAUCCGGGGAUGCAUGUCCGCAGCAGUCCACCAGUUCCAAUGUAUGACAAACGGUGUCGAAGUUUGCACGGAUGGGUCCAUAACCCUGUAACAGUUUAGUAACUGGUUCCAGAUCUCCACAGUGGCUCCUUACUUACCAGGCAAGCUGGCAGGUGAUGG